ACAAGGGAGCAGUAAGACAUGUGAAGUAGCUGUUCCUGCUUUUCCAUCUUGGACAACACCUGAAACAGACAGAGGUCAUCGGUCUCAUAUUUGCUGUGUUUCAAUGUGCAUAAAUGAAUUUAUCAGCAUCUACCGGGUACAACUUUACUGUCCAUUUAAGAGAAGAUAACUUAAAGGAAAGGUACUCAAAGGUCAUUAUCUCUCCAGCACUUCCCAUGGCCAUAUGCAGUGGUUUAAAGUGUUCCUGAAGCCAGAAAGAUGUCUCUGACAGAGGCGGGUGGUCCCCAGGAAAUGGGGAGGUUCCAGAUUUCCAGCACCACCCAAGGGAGGGUUUAGCUGAGCAGGGAGAGAAGAAGCUGCAGAGGAGACUGAGGAAGGAAGGAAGCAGGAUGGAGAGCCAGAAGACCUGGAUGAACUAUAUUUUUUGCCUUUUCUGUAUUGUUUCCUAAUUGUAUUAAAGUUCCUUCCCAUUACAGUCUCAUUUGUUUUGUAUUGAUGUUGCUGAUGGCAGAACCCAUUUAGAGCAGG